rnacentral:rRNA from 1 species
AGCGAACGCUGGCGGCAGUCCUAACACAUGCAAGUCGAACGAACUCUUCGGAGUUAGUGGCGGACGGGUGAGUAACACGUGGGAACGUGCCUUUAGGUUCGGAAUAACUCAGGGAAACUUGUGCUAAUACCGAAUGUGCCCUUCGGGGGAAAGAUUUAUCGCCUUUAGAGCGGCCCGCGUCUGAUUAGCUAGUUGGUGAGGUAAAGGCUCACCAAGGCGACGAUCAGUAGCUGGUCUGAGAGGAUGAUCAGCCACAUUGGGACUGAGACACGGCCCAAACUCCUACGGGAGGCAGCAGUGGGGAAUCUUGCGCAAUGGGCGAAAGCCUGACGCAGCCAUGCCGCGUGAAUGAUGAAGGUCUUAGGAUUGUAAAAUUCUUUCACCGGGGAUGAUAAUGACGGUACCCGGAGAAGAAGCCCCGGCUAACUUCGUGCCAGCCGCCGCGGUAA